rnacentral:rRNA from 1 species
GUGAGGAAUAUUGGUCAAUGGGCGAGAGCCUGAACCAGCCAAGUCGCGUGAAGGAAGAAGGAUCUAUGGUUCGUAAACUUCUUUUGCAGGGGAAUAAAGUGCGGGACGUGUCCUGUUUUGUAUGUACCCUGAGAAUAAGGAUCGGCUAACUCCGUGCCAGCAGCCGCGGUAAUACGGAGGAUCCGAGCGUUAUCCGGAUUUAUUGGGUUUAAAGGGUGCGUAGGUGGUUUGAUACGUCAGCGGUGAAAGUUUGCAGCUUAACUGUAAAAAUGCCGUUGAAACUGUCGGACUUGAGUGUAAAUGAGGUAGGCGGAAUGCGUGGUGUAGCGGUGAAAUGCAUAGAUAUCACGCAGAACUCCGAUUGCGAAGGCAGCUUACUAAGCUACAACUGACACUGAAGCACGAAAGCGUGGGGAUCAAACAGGAUUAGAUACCCGGGUAGUCC